rnacentral:rRNA from 1 species
UACGAAGGGGGCUAGCGUUGCUCGGAAUCACUGGGCGUAAAGCGCACGUAGGCGGACUCUUAAGUCGGUGGUGAAAUCCUGGAGCUCAACUCCAGAACUGUCUUCGAUACUGAGAGUCUCGAGUCCGGGAGAGGUGAGUGGAACUGCGAGUGUAGAGGUGAAAUUCGUAGAUAUUCGCAAGAACACCAGUGGCGAAGGCGGCUCACUGGCCCGGUACUGACGCUGAGGUGGCGAAAAGCGUGGGGAGCCAAACAGG